UCAGAACGAACGCUGGCGGCAGGCUUAACACAUGCAAGUCGAGCGCCCCGCAAGGGGAGCGGCAGACGGGUGAGUAACGCGUGGGAAUCUACCCUUUUYUACGGAAUAACGCAGGGAAACUUGUGCUAAUACCGUAUGAGCCCUUCGGGGGAAAGAUUUAUCGGGAAAGGAUGAGCCCGCGUUGGAUUAGCUAGUUGGUGGGGUAAAGGCCUACCAAGGCGACGAUCCAUAGCUGGUCUGAGAGGAUGAUCAGCCACAUUGGGACUGAGACACGGCCCAAACUCCUACGGGAGGCAGCAGUGGGGAAUAUUGGACAAUGGGCGCAAGCCUGAUCCAGCCAUGCCGCGUGAGUGAUGAAGGCCCUAGGGUUGUAAAGCUCUUUCACCG
rnacentral:rRNA from 1 species